CCUGGCUCAGGAUGAACGCUGGCGGUCUGCUUAACACAUGCAAGUCGAACGCAACCUUCGGGUUGAGUGGCGGACGGGUGAGUAACGCGUGAGAAUCUGCCUUGGGGUCGGGGACAACCACUGGAAACGGUGGCUAAUACCGGAUAAGCCUUUGGGUAAAAAAUUUAUUGCCCCAAGAGGAGCUCGCGUCUGAUUAGCUAGUUGGUGAGGUAAAAGCUCACCAAGGCAGCGAUCAGUAGCUGGUCUGAGAGGACGAUCAGCCACACUGGGACUGAGACACGGCCCAGACUCCUACGGGAGGCAGCAGUGGGGAAUUUUCCGCAAUGGGCGAAAGCCUGACGGAGCAAGACCGCGUGAGGGAGGAAGGCUCUUGGGUUGUAAACCUCUUUUCUCAGGGAAGAAGCUCUGACGGUACCUGAGGAAUCAGCCUCGGCUAACUCCGUGCCAGCAGCCGCGGUAAUACGGAGGAGGCAAGCGUUAUCCGGAAUUAUUGGGCGUAAAGCGUCCGCAGGUGGCGAUUCAAGUCUGCUGUCAAAGCACGGGGCUUAACUCCGUUAAGGCAGUGGAAACUGAAUAGCUAGAGUGCCGUAGGGGUAGAGGGAAUUCCCGGUGUAGCGGUGAAAUGCGUAGAGAUCGGGAAGAACAUCGGUGGCGAAAGCGCUCUACUGGACGGCAACUGACACUCAGGGACGAAAGCUAGGGGAGCGAAUGGGAUUAGAUACCCCAGUAGUCCUAGCUGUAAACGAUGGAUACUAGGUGUAGCUUGUAUCGACCCGAGCUGUGCCGAAGCUAACGCGUUAAGUAUCCC
rnacentral:rRNA from 1 species